rnacentral:tRNA from 1 species
UUCCAUGGUAUAAUGGUUCGCACUCUGGACUCUGAAUCCAGCGAUCUGAGCUCAAGUCUCAGUGGAA